rnacentral:rRNA from 1 species
GAUGAACGCUGGCGGCGUGCUUAACACACGCAAGUCGAACGAAGCAUUUGCGACAGAUUUUUUCGGAAUGAAGUUGCUUAUGACUGAGUGGCGGACGGGUGAGUAACGCGUGGGUAACCUGCCUUGUACUGGGGGAUAGCAGCUGGAAACGGCUGGUAAUACCGCAUAAGCGCACAAUGUUGCAUGACAUGGUGUGAAAAACUCCGGUGGUAUAAGAUGGACCCGCGUCUGAUUAGCUAGUUGGUGAGAUAACAGCCCACCAAGGCGACGAUCAGUAGCCGACCUGAGAGGGUGACCGGCCACAUUGGGACUGAGACACGGCCCAGACUCCUACGGGAGGCAGCAGUGGGGAAUAGUGCACAAUGGAGGAAACUCUGAUGCAGCGACGCCGCGUGAGUGAAGAAGUAAUUCGUUAUGUAAAGCUCUAUCAGCAGGGAAGAUAGUGACGGUACCUGACUAAGAAGCUCCGGCUAAAUACGUG